rnacentral:rRNA from 1 species
UACGUAGGGGCUAGCGUUGCUCGGAAUUACUGGGCGUAAAGGGCGCGCAGGCUGCGUUACAAGUCAGCUGUUAAAUGCAUGGGCUUACCCCAUGAGUGCGGUUGAAACUGUAGUGCUAGAGUACUGUAGAGGCAAGCGGAAUUCCCAGUGUAGCGGUGAAAUGCGUAGAUAUUGGGAGGAACACCGGUGGCGUAGGCGGCUUGCUGGACAGUAACUGACGCUGAGGCGCGAAAGCCAGGGGAGCAAACGGGAUUAGAUA